rnacentral:rRNA from 1 species
AGAUACAWUCAAUAAGCGGAGGAAAAGAAACCAACAGGGAUUGCCUUAGUAACGGCGAGUGAAGCGGCAACAGCUCAAAUUUGAAAUCUGGCCCUUGGGUCCGAAUUGUAAUUUGUAGAGGAUGAUUUUGGUGCGGUAUCUUCCGAGUUCCUUGGAACAGGACGCCUUAGAGGGUGAGAGCCCCGUACGGUUGAAUGCCUAGCCUCUGUAAAUCUCCUUCGACGAGUCGAGUAGUUUGGGAAUGCUGCUCUAAAUGGGAGGUAAAUUUCUUCUAAAGCUAAAUAUUGGCCAGAGACCGAUAGCGCACAAGUAGAGUGAUCGAAAGAUGAAAAGCACUUUGAAAAGAGGGUUAAAUAGCACGUGAAAUUGUUGAAAGGGAAGGAUUUGUGACCAGACUUUUUCUGGGCGGAUCAUCCGGGGUUCUCUCCGGUGCACUUCGCCCAGUAAAGGCCAGCAUCGGUUUUCGGCGUGGGAUAAAAGCAGUAGGAAUGUGGCUCUCUACGGGGAGUGUUAUAGCCUAUUGUAUAAUACCGCGCUGGGGACCGAGGUUCGCGCUUCUGCAAGGAUGCUGGCGUAAUGGUUAUCAAUCACCCGUCUUGAAACACGGACCAAGGAGUCGAACAUUUGUGCGAGUGUUUGGGUGUUAAACCCUCACGCGUAAUGAAAGUGAACGGAGGUGAGAGCCCUUACGGGUGCAUCAUCGACCGAUCCUGAAGUUUUCGGAUGGAUUUGAGUAAGAGCAUAACUGUUCGGACCCGAAAGAUGGUGAACUAUGCGUGGAUAGGGUGAAGCCAGAGGAAACUCUGGUGGAGGCUCGCAGCGGUUCUGACGUGCAAAUCGAUCGUCAAAUCUGCGCAUNGGGGCGAAAGACUAAUCGAACCAU